rnacentral:rRNA from 1 species
AUUGAACGCUGGCGGCAUGCUUUACACAUGCAAGUCGAACGGUAACAGGCCUUCGGGUGCUGACGAGUGGCGAACGGGUGAGUAAUGCAUCGGAACGUACCCAGAGGUGGGGGAUAACGCAGCGAAAGCUGUGCUAAUACCGCAUGUGAUCUGGGGAUGAAAGCGGGGGACCGAGCAGCAAUGUUUGGCCUCGCGCCUUUGGAGCGGCCGAUGUCGGAUUAGCUAGUUGGUGGGGUAAAGGCCUACCAAGGCGACGAUCCGUAGCUGGUCUGAGAGGACGACCAGCCACACUGGGACUGAGACACGGCCCAGACUCCUACGGGAGGCAGCAGUGGGGAAUUUUGGACAAUGGGCGCAAGCCUGAUCCAGCAAUGCCGCGUGCGGGAAGAAGGCCUUCGGGUUGUAAACCGCUUUUGGCAGGAACGAAACGGUGUCCGCUAAUACCGGGCGCUAAUGACGGUACCUGCAGAAUAAGCACCGGCUAACUACGUG